AAGGAAGGCACAUCAGGUUACAGAAGGAGGAGAGAACAUACCUGCUUAUCAUCUCAUCAAGACUUUGAUAUCACCCUAAAAAGAAACCAGACAACCUUUGCUUCACUGAAGGAGUGACAUCAGACCGAAGAAAUCAGCGAUGUCAGAGUCAUAUCAGUUAGAUGCAUCGAUAGAGGAAGCGCUCCCGCUGAACUCUGUACCAGGAACAGGUGUUCAACAACCUGAGGACACUGGCAAUCAAGUAAUCUGCGUCGGUGAGGACUCUGCUGCGUCCUGCUGCAGUGACAAGUACCACAGGAAGCUGGCCAUCGCUAGCAUCAUCUGCGGGUUCUCCUGCUUCGGAGUCCUAGCCUUGAUUUAUUCCGUAAAGGCUGAGAAUGCUGACAAAGCUGAGAAAGCCAAGGGGACAAGAGACAGGAGAGCUGCAAAGUAUUUAAGACAGGCCAAAAAAUGGGGCAUCAUCUCCAUCGUGACAUGGGUUUCCAUCCUGGUGUCAGUUUCUUUGACACUGGUAUUACUGGUGCUGGUCCUAUCAAAGCUGGGCUUUGAUUGA
rnacentral:lncRNA from 1 species